UACGGGGGGGGCAAGCGUUGUUCGGAAUUACUGGGCGUAAAGGGCUCGUAGGCGGCCAACUAAGUCAGACGUGAAAUCCCUCGGCUUAACCGGGGAACUGCAUCUGAUACUGGAUGGCUUGAGAUUGGGAGAGGGAUGCGGAAUUCCAGGUGUAGCGGUGAAAUGCGUAGAUAUCUGGAGGAACCCCGGUGGCGAAGGCGGCAUCCUGGACCAACACUGACGCUGAGGAGCGAAAGCCAGGGGAGCAAACGGG
rnacentral:rRNA from 1 species